rnacentral:piRNA from 1 species
AUGUCCUCUGUAUAGUUUCCCUG